UACAGAGGGGGCAAGCGUUGUUCGGAAUUACUGGGCGUAAAGGGCGUGUAGGCGGUUUGUUAAGUCUGGCGUGAAAGCUCUCGGCUAAACCGGGAGAGGUCGUUGGAUACUGGCGAACUAGAGGAUGGUAGAGGCGUGUGGAAUUCCGGGUGUAGUGGUGAAAUGCGUAGAGAUCCGGAGGAACACCAGUGGCGAAGGCGACACGCUGGGCCAUACCUGACGCUAAAGCGCGACAGCAUGGGGAGCAAACGGG
rnacentral:rRNA from 1 species